ensembl:lincRNA
GGUGUAGUCCAGCCCCCUCCCCCUUCCCUGGUUCAUCUUUGCUCUUGCUCCGCCUGCAGCAUUCCCAGGCCCCGGAGAAGGCCCCCUGUGGGAUGCCAUAGAUACAGGGGACUCCACAUACAUACAGAAGACACAGCAGACCCUAUCUGACACACACAAGAGUCAGGCUUCAUAAAGUGAGGAGGCGGAGAGACUGGGGAGCACUUGUUUCUAAAGGUCCUAAAUCUGCCACGGUGGAACGGGCUACCCUGCCAUCAUCCACAGAGUAGUUCUUAGUUUUUAUUUCUAGAAACACUGACAAUGAGUUGGAGCAUGGCUCCAACAUUCCUCUGUAACAUUCCCCGGGCUGAAAUAAGGAAGAUGAAGGCUUUCCAGGCUCCUAAAAGCCAGAGAACUUUGGAACAACAGGAGUCUCUGAUAUCACAAGCAAAAUGGAAGCUUCCAGAACACUUAGGAGCAGGGUCUGCCUCCUUGCAUAUGGGUCAGGAUGGAAGCAUGUUUCAGCAAACUUAAAGAGUCCAAGGCGAGAAGAACAAGAGUAAAGGCCACUUUCCAGCCGCAGAGAAUAAAUCAGCAGUUUUUCUGCACAGGCACAUAUUGGUUCUGUCGUCUCUGCCCGAGGGUCACGCGGCCCCAUCACAGCGACGCUCACACUUGUCCACAGACAAAAGCUCGGAGGAUGAAAGUAGAAAACACCAGAGAAAACUGUCUGGGCGCUCUGACCCUGUCGGAUCCUGGGACUCUGGAACAUCCCCACUGAGACCCCAAUAGUCCCAGGAUGCUGUGAUGCUCAAGGCAAGAAUACAUCCUCUGAAGACAUUCAGGUUCUUUGAGAACCAAGAAGUAAUACAAAGAGAAAGGUUUCACCUGGAGAAGGACAAAUUCCUUAUCAGCUUAACUCAUCCCACCUACUGUUGUGAGAACCUUUUUGCUCAUCUCACCAUCCUAAUCAUCAUACACUCCUCAUUGAUUAAUAUCUUUAUCAGCAUAAGAUCCUCAUCGUCAUAGGAUUAUUGGUACCCUCUGAGUCAUCUGAUACUUUCUAUUAGCCCAAUAAAUAAUGGCAAGCUUGGAGUGCUUUUGUCUUUGCUGUUUAGAGCAGCACUGACCAGGCCCAAGACCCAGCCUUUUCUCUAACUUUCAUUUCCUGUCUUUAUUCUCCAAGUAGCUUUGUGCUGUCAUGGUUCACAGGAGUCCAGGACCCACUGCAGGGGUUCUGGUAAGGUCCCUUUUCCUGUUCCCUAAAUAGCACCACAGAUAAACACUAACAGGAAUGGAGCCUACAGUUAGGAGCAUUGGAGAGGGUAUGUAAUUGAAAGUUAGAAGGCAGGACUUUAAAACGGUCUGGAAUCAACCUCUUGUUUCAUAGACACCCAAAAUAAGGCCUCAAAUUCAGGAAAUAGCCAAAGAUGACACAGAUAAAAACAGGCAGAAUGGGUCUGACCUUGGGUCCUCUUGCCCCAGGUAAGCACUCUGCCCACAGGAUUGCAAGAAUUCCCCCAGAGGACAAGGCUGCAAGAAGGGACAGGGACACCCAGAAACAGAAAUCUUUUUACCUCUUUGCACCUGCACCUUACUGUCCUGCAUAGGCAGCUGCAGGCAGGAUCAAGACAAGCAAAGUGCACGCACAACGCUGGCUGUUUGGGCUGCCCCGUCCCCAGAGAACUGCGAGCUCAGUGUGGGGACUUGGCACAGUGCUAAGCCCUGUCACAGGAAGAAAACAAAAGCAAGAGCAAGAGAACUCAUUUGGUUGGGGUGCAGCUUGGAGAGAGCAUUUGCCUAGCAUGUGUGAGGCCCUAGACUCAAUUCCCACCACGGGAAGAAAGGAAGGAAGAAAAGAGGGAAGGGAGAAGAAGGAAAGGAAGGAAGAAGGAAGACAAAUCACUAUCCAAAAAAGUGAUAUCCUAUAUGAGUAAUACAGCAAAUCACAAUGGAAUGUAAAGUUAGAACAAUAUUCUUUAAGAUACGGCAUAGUACAAGCAUACUGGUCAUUUUAAUCUCAUCGAUGUAGUAGCGCGUUUUCCACUCGUUUCCAAUUUCUUUUGGGGAACAAUCUUGUUUCAUCCGCACCACUUUGCUCCUGUGCAUGUGACAGCUGGCCACCCCAGCUGCAGGGUGUCUGAUUUUCACUUGCUGAUGUAGAUGCUCUUCUGACG